UGGAUGGAGCGAGACAUGAUGUCCCAGAUGUGCUCAAUUGGUUUCAGGUCUGGGGAACGGGCGGGCCAGUCCAUAGCAUCAAUGCUUCCUCUUGCAGGAACUGCUGACACACUCCAGCCACAUGAGGUCUAGCAUUGUCUUGCAUUAGGAGGAACCCAGGGCCAACCGCACCAGCAUAUGGUCUCACAAGGGGUCUGAGGAUCUCAUCUCGGUACCUAAUGGCAGUCAGGCUACCUCUGGCGAGCACAUGGAGGGCUGUGCGGCCCCCCAAAGAAAUGCCACCCCACACCAUGACUGACCCACCGCCAAACCGGUCAUGCUGGAGGAUGUUGCAAGCAGCAGAAUUCGGAAGAGCGAAUGAAAUGGUGGGCGGGACAUCCCAAAUUAAAGUGGUGCCAGAUUUCACAGCCUGAGUCACAAAGGUGAAAGAGAUUUGUUGACAUGUCAGUCGGGGAACUAGGAAACUCUGAAAUUUCCGACUUGCUAAAUUGGUUGAACGCAGCAGUUGUAUAGCUGCAACAAAUAAGCAAGUCGGAAACCCCAAAUUUCCUUGUUCUGACUAGCACAUGAACGUGGCAAUACUCCAGACUCCGUGAGAACUAGGGCUAUUGCUGAAUGGUAGUCAUUUUGAUCUACGGCAUCCACAGAUCGAUUUAAAAGCUAAAAUUACAGGUACCAGAACUUUGCUAGUCCCCUCUUCAGGGGCCUUAACAUCCAAGAGGUUAAUUAAAUGUAGCAAUAUAACACUCGUCACUCAAAUUCAAACAUUGGUUGAACAGAUCUUUUCCAUUAAUUUGAGGUAGAUCAUGCAUAUUUCCCUUAAUACUAUCUAUUCAUCAGAUAUUGUAGAAUAUGACUGAAGAGCACUUCUGAGGCUAUAUAACAAUCUUAUAAACAUUGGUUUGGAGUGUACUAUUCCUUUAAGUCUCAUUCAUUUAAGUGAUCAUGUACUAUAACACUGAUGUAUUCUAUAAAUUGUUAACUUUUUUUUUUUUUACUACCUGAAGGGAAAU
rnacentral:lncRNA from 1 species